CACGUAGGGCGCAAGCGUUGUCCGGAAUUAUUGGGCGUAAAGAGCUCGUAGGCGGUUUGAUUAGUCGGGUGUGAAACCUCCAGGCUCAACCUGGAGCCGCCACUCGAUACUGUCAUGACUAGAAUUCGGUAGGGGACCACGGAAUUCCUGGUGUAGCGUGAAAUGCGCAGAUAUCAGGAGGAACACCAGCAGCGAAGGCGGUGUCUGGGCCGACAUUGACGCUGAGGAGCGAAAGCGUGGGGAGCGAACAGG
rnacentral:rRNA from 1 species